AUUAAACCUAACAGGGGAUUGAUUAAAGCUUGGCUCACGAAAAGAUAUUAUGACUUAAAAAUGCAAGAAAAAGGAGAAACAAUCAAAGGACUUUCGUUGAUCUCGUAGGAAAAGAAUGCACUCUCAAAUUGCAUUAUUAAUCCUACAUUCAAUUAAUUAGCUUUUGCUUUCAUCCAUGCAGUCACGGUUUCAAGAGAAAAGGAUAUCAAAUUUUCACAAAGAAAUUAAAACAAUGAUUAACAAACUAAAUGACACAAGUUUUCUAAAGUGCUUGGAGUAAUGAAUAUUAUCUCACAACUAGAAUUAAUCCUCAAGGUGCUCUUCGAUGUCUUCAUCAUCAUCAGCGUAAGCAUCAAGAGGAGAUUUGUCUUGAUUCUUAAAGUAUUCUUCACGUUGUUUGCGAAUACGGCGGCGUGCUGAAUAACCCCAACGGAAUUCGGCAUCAGGAUUUUCUUCUUCUUCCUCAUCAUCCGUGUCAAAUUCUCCAUGUUCUUUGGGCUUCGUGCCAUGCGUCAUUUCCGGAUCUAAAGUACCAUCUACUUCGCCUUCUAAUAAAGAUUUUCUAUGUUCUCUCUCCUGUAUCUUGGCUCCCAACUUCAUCAAAUAUGGCCGGAUUAACAUAUAUCCUCCAACAUAUACGAUAAUUCGAAUCCAGUCCUUCAAUGAAUAUGAUUGUAAAUAGCCUGCAACGUCAAACCCCAUUUUCCUUGCACAAAAAAGAGUGGUGGAUACUAAGUUCACCUGUCUGCUCAACCAGGCAAACUAUUAUUAACCAAGUCACUAAAAUUCUUUAGACUUUUUUAGAAUUUUUAAAACCUCGUUAUUCGUCUUAACGUAUAUUCUCAAUGAUAUGCUGUAAAAAGAUUUAUUAAUUAGGCUAUAAUACUAAUUUAUUUAAAAAUUUUAUAGUUAUUUGCUUUCUUAGUUUAUUUUAAAAUUAUUUUCAUACAAAUUUUACUUGGUUUACAGUAUUUAU